AAUCAACGCUGGCGGCGUGCCUAACACAUGCAAGUCGAGCGAGAGGGAGUAGCAAUACUCUAGUAAAGCGGCGCACGGGUGAGUAACACGUGGGUAAUCUGCCUCGAAGUGGGGAAUAACACCGGGAAACCGGUGCUAAUACCGCAUAAUCUGACGGGAUCUGCGGAUUUUGUCAGCAAAGGAGCAAUUCGCUUUGAGAGGAGCCCGCGGCUGAUUAGCUAGUUGGUGAGGUAAUGGCUCACCAAGGCCACGAUCAGUAGCCGGUCUGAGAGGACGGUCGGCCACACUGGAACUGAGACACGGUCCAGACUCCUACGGGAGGCAGCAGUGGGGAAUUUUUCGCAAUGGGGGCAACCCUGACGAAGCAACGCCGCGUGGAUGAUGAAGUCUCUUGGGACGUAAAAUCCUUUCGACGGGGACGAAACCGCAAGGUUGACGGUACCCGUAGAAGAAGCCCCGGCUAACUCCGUGCCAGCCGCCGCUGUAAUAC
rnacentral:rRNA from 1 species